UUUCUUGAUGGCUGGAAAAAGGAGAAGAUUGGAGAAGAAAGAGAGAACAGAGUAAUCGAAGUACCUGGUACUCUUGUCACAAACGAAAGAACGGUAAAGAAAGAGCACAACCCAAUUACCGAAAAUGGCGACGGAAACAGAGAAGACGAAGAUGAAAGAUUAACGGAAGCGAGGAAGACAGCGUGCGCAAGAAGCUGAAAGGGCGAAAAAGAGUAAAGUGAAUGAGAAAGGGCGCGAGAGAGAGAAAGAGGGUUUUCCGAAAUCUAAAUGGUCACAACACGUGUCAGCCAGGGAGCAUAGCUGGCGACACACUUAACGACCUCCAUUAUGACGAGCACCAGUCAUAAUCGCAUAACCGUCACCCUCACUCACGCGCCACAUGUACGUUUUCAAAAACGAGACAAUAGUUGCGACACGUGGCAUCUCGACAGGCAGGCGUGCGCGAAGGGUCACGGCCACUAGACGAGCUCGGUCUUAACUCCUCGACCUACGGUCUUUGGAACUCGGGGGGCUAGUUUACUAUCUGUACCGCCAUGCCGAGCUCGGUAUCACAGCGCAGGAUGACCUCGGACAUGCGCUGGGCGAUUUCGGUCUAGGCGAGAUCCGCUAUCUAAUCAAAUCAUAACUAAUCUCGGGCCCAAGGCCCAACACAACCCUAAUUCGCACCAAGGUACCGUACCACCCCCAUCUUGGAACACCAACAUACCAGUGAAAAAGGCUCACCAAUCUUACUUGGCGGAUCAUCUUUACAACAAAUUUUCGGUAAGAACAACUCUGGAAUUCAAUUGUUUCAAACACCCUUAUUAGCCACCUAAGGAACCACUGAAUUCUCAACACCAAAAAGAUGAACCACUAGCUUUGUAAAAUUCAAGACACUUACAGAAUUGACAUAUAAAUCAACUUGCAUAAAAAUAAAAAUAAAAACCAUUAAUUGUAAUCUCUUACAAAUAAAUAUCAAAUUAAAAGGACCCGUUUUCAAAUUACAAAAUAUUUUUCCAGCAAACAACAAUUUUAAUCUCUGAAAUAUGUAAGUGACAUUGACACGGUCCUUCAUUUUAAUUUCUAAGAAUUUAAGGGUCAAAUGCUUUAAUAUUAUCCUUACUAAAACUCAACAGUAAUCAUAAAUGCUUUAGCGUUUAAUAUUGACUUGUCACCUUAGGUGACAUUACAAUUUGCAUCCAUAUUCAUUCCAGAAUGACGAGUGUUUAUUAGCUAAUUCCCCAUCCUCUUUCUAGUUUUCACUAACAUUUGUUCUCCCCUCAAGCUCAACAAAAAAAUCGAGGGCCACGAGUCCCGGUGUUUCCAUCUCCCCAUCUUGAUUUGACUAAUAAAUAUUAAAAUGCACAUUGCAACAACUAGUAACCAAGUCCAAGGCACACAACUUUCCACGACUACAGGGGGCUAUGAGUGUUAGAUUAUAUUUGCUUUGAGAAGCUAGAACUUUCUUAAUAAAGGAAAUGGAAGUCAAAAUUGGUCAUUGUCACAUUUGAGUUUGUAACAGUCACAUUCCAAAUAAAACUUAGGUGAGUGAGAGUAAUUUAUUUAAAAAAAUAAAAAUUAAUAAUCAUCAUUAUAUAUAUAUAUAUAUAAUAAAAUAAAAUAUAAAUGUAAAAAAUAAUCAUUAAUGAAUUCAAUUUAUAAAAUUAGAAAUGAAAAAUAUAAUAUUUUUUAAAUAUACUUUAAUAAUUUAAUUAAAAUAAGGGAGUACAUUCAUCCACUCUCACUAUAAUAUAAUAUAAGUUUAUUACUAGUUUGUACGAUAUGGUUUACUCACAUUCAAGUCUAACAAAUUCCAAACAUGUGUUGGUGAAAGUUCUAAAAAGAAAGGUUAGUAGUUUCUAUUGAUGACCCUUCCACCCUCACCAACCAUAACAUAGUGGUGUUCCAAGUAUUGAAAACUUUGCAAAUGAUGCUUUGGUGGUCAACAAUGUAACCUCUGUGUAGCUAGCGGAGCAAAAGGAUUGGGAUUCUGAUUGGCCUCUUGCACUCCUUCCACAUUGAAAUUGGUUGCUGAAUGUCUGAGGAUCCCCCGUAAGGGGGCUUUGCUUUGUGGUGACUGCUAGAAUUGGUUUUGUCAAAUAAAUUUUCUAAACAUGUUAUGGAGUUGUCAUUGUUGGAAGAAGAAAAAGAUGACAAUGAUGAAGGAAAUAUAUGACAGUUAAGUUUUUGAUGUGAUUUUUUCCCAUCUCAUAAAAUAACAUUAUUUUUAAUGAAUGUUGAUGCCAUUAGGGUAAUGGACAACUAUGUGCAUGUUUAGUUUAUAAUAUUUAAUGUGAUUUUAGGUAAUC